CACCCACAAGACCCAACUUGUCCCUUGAUUGACAGCUUCCCCUAACUGAACAAGAGGCAUGCAAUUUGGCCAGAGGUCAACCAGAUCUGCACUCCUUUCCAGAAGGUGGCGUUAGUGCACCAAAUAUUAUUUUCCAACUGCCAAAAACAGAAGAAGAAGAAACGGUUUGGCCAGAGGCCUGUUAUUUCAAACAUCUGAGCCCUGACAGUAAGACCAGAGUUGAAAAACAAUGGCCACGAUACCUGAAGACUUGCAUGUUACGUACGUAACCAUGGAUCGGACUUGUCAGUCCAUUACAUUCCACUCAUACCCAGCCAUCCACAUGAUGCAGCAGAAAAUGGGAUUCAUCAAACCAGGCAGCCUUAUUCCAUUGCUCCAAGGCCCAGUCUGUCUUCAGUCCAGAAAUACCGGCUUAAUGGAAACAGCCCUUUCACAACACGCUGCUGGUGGCUCCCCCUGCUGGACGUCAUUCCACCUUCAACAAGGCAUGUCGGAUCUAUUCUGCUUAAA